UUUUUUUUCAUUUUGAAUGCUUGGGUUUGAACUUCAAAGCCAAUGCUCUUUGCUAGUAGCCUCAUUAUGUCAAUUGUGGUGGGAAACAGACUUACAUUACUUAUAUGAGCUGUGUACCAGCAGUAGCAGAAGAAAAGUUGACAGUUCUAGGUUUUGAGGAAUCUGAAAUUAAAUGUGAGCACUUAAGGAUUUAUUGGAACCUUCAGCUAAGUUCAUCCAAUGUGUUUGUGGAAUCCCUAUCUGAGAGAAGUUGAUCAGCUAUUGCAGACCCAAAACAUAUGCAAACAAACAUGACCUUACAGUGGGAGAAAUUGUCGGGGAGCAGUUCUUGAAUUGGAAUCGCUUCAUGUUCAAAACUGUAGUGGAUUCCAACCACUAAUUAGGAGGGUCAAACCCCUAGGCUAAACCAGUUGCAGAUUUGAAAGAAAAAGAGAAAAAAAAACUGAAUUUUCAUUGAUUUACCCAAAUAUAUGGGUACACUAGUGCUGUAAACAGUCUGGGCAGCCCAUCAGGUGUUUGGUCUUGACCUGACUUUAGUGAGGCUCAGGCUUGAUUAUUAAGCAUUUUGCAUGCAGGCUGGGCUCGAGCAUAGUCUUUGAAGCCCGAUUGCUAUUCUUGCUAGA